ACACAUUCCAGCCAAUCAGCAGCAGACCCUCCCUCCCAGACCCUCCCACCUCCUGGACAGCAUCCAUUGUGAAGCUGCAUUCUUAGUGAGCUGUCCAGGAGGUGGGAGGGUCUCGGAGGGAGGGUCUGCUGCUGAUUGGCUGGCAUGUACAG
rnacentral:miRNA from 1 species